CAGUAGCCACGGGAAUACGGAGGGGGCUAGCGUUGUUCGGAAUUACUGGGCGUAAAGCGCACGUAGGCGGCUUGGUAAGUUAGAGGUGAAAGCCUGGAGCUCAACUCCAGAAUUGCCUUUAAGACUGCCGAGCUAGCAGGUGAGAGAGGUAAGUGGAAUUCCGAGUGUAGAGGUGAAAUUCGUAGAUAUUCGGAAGAACACCAGUGGCGAAGGCGGCUUACUGGCUCAUACUGGACGCUGAGGUGCGAAAGCGUGGGGAGCAAACAGGAUUAGAUACCCCAGUAGUCCCUGUCUCUUAUAU
rnacentral:rRNA from 1 species